GGCCAGGUAGCUCAGUUGGUACGAGCGUCCGCCUGAAAAGCGGAAGGUCGCCGGUUCGACCCCGGCCCUGGCCAC
rnacentral:tRNA from 12 species